UACGUAGGGGGCUAGCGUUGUCCGGAAUCAUUGGGCGUAAAGAGCGUGUAGGCGGCCCGGUAAGUCCGCUGUGAAAGUCGGGGGCUCAACCCUCGAAUGCCGGUGGAUACUGUCGGGCUAGAGUGCGGAAGAGGCGAGUGGAAUUCCUGGUGUAGCGGUGAAAUGCGCAGAUAUCAGGAGGAACACCGAUUGCGAAGGCAGCUCGCUGGGACGUAACUGACGCUGAGGAGCGAAAGUGUGGGGAGCGAACAGG
rnacentral:rRNA from 1 species